AGAGUUUGAUCAUGGCUCAGAUUGAACGCUGGCGGCAGGCCUAACACAUGCAAGUCGAACGGUAACAGGAAGAAGCUUGCUUCUUUGCUGACGAGUGGCGGACGGGUGAGUAAUGUCUGGGAAACUGCCUGAUGGAGGGGGAUAACUACUGGAAACGGUAGCUAAUACCGCAUAACGUCGCAAGACCAAAGAGGGGGACCUUCGGGCCUCUUGCCAUCGGAUGUGCCCAGAUGGGAUUAGCUAGUAGGUGGGGUAACGGCUCACCUAGGCGACGAUCCCUAGCUGGUCUGAGAGGAUGACCAGCCACACUGGAACUGAGACACGGUCCAGACUCCUACGGGAGGUAGCAGUGGGGAAUAUUGCACAAUGGGCGCAAGCCUGAUGCAGCCAUGCCGCGUGUAUGAAGAAGGCCUUCGGGUUGUAAAGUACUUUCAGCGGGGAGGAAGGGAGUAAAGUUAAUACCUUUGCUCAUUGACGUUACCCGCAGAAGAAGCACCGGCUAACUCCGUGCCAGCAGCCGCGGUAAUACGGAGGGUGCAAGCGUUAAUCAGAAUUACUGGGCGUAAAGCGCACGCAGGCGGUUUGUUAAGUCAGAUGUGAAAUCCCCGGGCUCAACCUGGGAACUGCGUCUGAUACUGGCAAGCUUGAGUCUCGUAGAGGGGGGUAGAAUUCCAGGUGUAGCGGUGAAAUGCGUAGAGAUCUGGAGGAAUACCGGUGGCGAAGGCGGCCCCCUGGACGAAGACUGACGCUCAGGUGCGAAGGCGUGGGGAGCAAACAGGAUUAGAUACCCUGGUAGUCCACGCCGUAAACGAUGUCGACUUGGAGGUUGUGCCCUUGAGGCGUGGCUUCCGGAGCUAACGCGUUAAGUCGACCGCCUGGGGAGUACGGCCGCAAGGUUAAAACUCAAAUGAAUUGACGGGGGCCCGCACAAGCGGUGGAGCAUGUGGUUUAAUUCGAUGCAACGCGAAGAACCUUACCUGGUCUUGACAUCCACGGAAGUUUUCAGAGAUGAGAAUGUGCCUUCGGGAACCGUGAGACAGGUGCUGCAUGGCUGUCGUCAGCUCGUGUUGUGAAAUGUUGGGUUAAGUCCCGCAACGAGCGCAACCCUUAUCCUUUGUUGCCAGCGGUCCGGCCGGGAACUCAAAGGAGACUGCCAGUGAUAAACUGGAGGAAGGUGGGGACGACGUCAAGUCAUCAUGGCCCUUACGACCAGGGCUACACACGUGCUACAAUGGCGCAUACAAAGAGAAGCGACCUCGCGAGAGCAAGCGGACCUCAUAAAGUGCGUCGUAGUCCGGAUUGGAGUCUGCAACUCGACUCCAUGAAGUCGGAAUCGCUAGUAAUCGUGGAUCAGAAUGCCACGGUGAAUACGUUCCCGGGCCUUGUACACACCGCCCGUCACACCAUGGGAGUGGGUUGCAAAAGAAGUAGGUAGCUUAACCUUCGGGAGGGCGCUUACCACUUUGUGAUUCAUGACUGGGGUGAAGUCGUAACAAGGUAACCGUAGGGGAACCUGCGGUUG
rnacentral:rRNA from 1 species